CACCUCUCAAGUCCUCCUUCCUCACUUCACCUGAGUCCUCUUUACUGACACCAUGGGUUGCUGUGGUUGUGGAAGUUGUGGUGGCUGCGGUGGUGGCUGUGGUGGCUGCGGUGGUGGCUGCGGUGGUGGCUGCGGUGGUGGCUGUGGCAGCUGCACCACCUGCAGGCUUCUCUGAUUUGAAAGUCACAAGAAGUUUUAUCCACAUUCCCUGGUCUCUGAGAUCCUGCCUGCACGUGAAAACCACCAACACAAACCUUCUCUAUCAAUCACCAAUCAAAGUAUGAGUCCAAAAAAAAACAGAGGGAUAUUUUUAAUGCUAUGUUUUCUUGAAAUUUUACUGUUGAAAUGUUUGUUUCCAUUCCUUUUCCCUCCUUUCUGUAGUUUCUGUAUCCUGCAUGUCUGCUCCUGCUUUCUGUUUCUGUAAACCUGAGACAAUAUUUUCCCAAUUAACCACAUAAAAUUGGCAUUAAAGAUUCAUGGACAUCUCCUUCUUUCUUUCAUUCUUCUAAUGUGUCUAAAGGAAAGAUGCGAUGAAAUCUAG
rnacentral:lncRNA from 1 species